rnacentral:rRNA from 1 species
UAGGGAAUCUUCGGCAAUGGACGAAAGUCUGACUGAGCAACGCCCCGUGAGUGAAGAAGGUUUUCGGAUCGUAAAACUCUGUUGUUAGAGAAGAACAAGGACGUUAGUAACUGAACGUCCCCUGACGGUAUCUAACCAGAAAGCCACGGCUAACUACGUGCCAGCAGCCGCGGUAAUACGUAGGUGGCAAGCGUUGUCCGGAUUUAUUGGGCGUAAAGCGAGCGCAGGCGGUUUCUUAAGUCUGAUGUGAAAGCCCCCGGCUCAACCGGGGAGGGUCAUUGGAAGCUGGGAGACUUGAGUGCAGAAGGUGAGAGUGGAAUUCCAUGUGUAGCGGUGAAAUGCGUAGAUAUAUGGAGGAACACCAGUGGCGGAGGCGGCUCUCUGAUCUAUAACUGACGCUGAGGCUCGAAAGCGUGGGGAGCAAACAGG